AACGAACGCUGGCGGCAUGCCUAACACAUGCAAGUCGAACGAGACCUUCGGGUCUAGUGGCGCACGGGUGCGUAACGCGUGGGAAUCUGCCCUUGGGUUCGGAAUAACAGUUGGAAACGACUGCUAAUACCGGAUGAUGACGUAAGUCCAAAGAUUUAUCGCCCAGGGAUGAGCCCGCGUAGGAUUAGCUAGUUGGUGGGGUAAAGGCCUACCAAGGCGACGAUCCUUAGCUGGUCUGAGAGGAUGAUCAGCCACACUGGGACUGAGACACGGCCAGACUCCUACGGGAGGCAGCAGUGGGGAAUAUUGGACAAUGGGCGAAAGCCUGAUCCAGCAAUGCCGCGUGAGUGAUGAAGGCCUUAGGGUUGUAAAACUCUUUUACCCGGGAUGAUAAUGACAGUACCGGGAGAAUAAGCCCCGGCUAACUCCGUG
rnacentral:rRNA from 1 species